UUCGUAUGGAGCAAGCGUUGUUCGGAUUUACUGGGCGUAAAGGGCGCGUAGGCGGCAAUUCAAGUCAUCUGUGAAAUCUCCGGGCUUAACUCGGAACGGUCAGAUGAUACUGCUUUGCUAGAGUGCAGAAGGGGCAAUCGGAAUUCUCGGUGUAGCGGUGAAAUGCGUAGAUAUCGAGAGGAACACCAGAGGUGAAGACGGGUUGCUGGGCUGACACUGACGCUGAGGCGCGAAAGCCAGGGGAGCAAACGGG
rnacentral:rRNA from 1 species